UACGUAGGGGGCAAGCGUUAUCCGGAUUUACUGGGUGUAAAGGGAGCGUAGGCGGUCUGACAAGUCAGAGGUGAAAGCCCGGGGCUCAACUCCGGGACUGCCUUUGAAACUGCCGGACUAGAUUGCAGGAGAGGCAAGUGGAAUUCCUAGUGUAGCGGUGAAAUGCGUAGAUAUUAGGAGGAACACCAGUGGCGAAGGCGGCUUGCUGGACUGUAAAUGACGCUGAGGCUCGAAAGCGUGGGGAGCAAACAGG
rnacentral:rRNA from 1 species